rnacentral:misc_RNA from 1 species
UUCGCAGAUGCUGUCCAUGGGGG